rnacentral:misc_RNA from 1 species
AUAUCAGUCUGCUGGUUAUUUUCAGCAAAGCCCAUUUCAAAUCAAUUGGUGGCUGCCGAUUUGACGCUGGAUCGUAUAUGUUUGGACACGAAAGAAAUACCUUGCGUACCAAGUCCAAAGCUCCAUUCAAUUCCCAAAUAAAUAAUGAUUUAAGAUAAGAGCAUGCUUGAAAUCAAUUACAAUAGGCAGGUUCAAGAACAAUUAAGUAAAAAAGCAUUCAAAUUGAAAGCAGUGCGGCAACGUUUAGCAGAGACAAUAAUGAUCACAAUCAUGAUAACAAAGGAAAACCUGAAACAGGGAAGAAGUGGGAAUUAACGAUAACAAGAAGAAAAAAAGGGGCAAAUUACCAAAGCUAAGAAGGUAGUGAUCGCAGCGUGGGCUCGUUCUUGCCCCCUUUGGCCUUUAAAUAGAAAGAAAAGAAAAGGUUGGAGAAUUAUGCA